UGUCGUCAGCUCGUGUUGUGAAAUGUUGGGUUAAGUCCCGCAACGAGCGCAACCCUUAUCCUUUGUUGCCAGCGGUCAGGCCGGGAACUCAAAGGAGACUGCCAGUGAUAAACUGGAGGAAGGUGGGGAUGACGUCAAGUCAUCAUGGCCCUUACGACCAGGGCUACACACGUGCUACAAUGGCGCAUACAAAGAGAAGCGACCUCGCGAGAGCAAGCGGACCUCAUAAAGUGCGUCGUAGUCCGGAUUGGAGUCUGCAACUCGACUCCAUGAAGUCGGAAUCGCUAGUAAUCGUGGAUCAGAAUGCCACGGUGAAUACGUUCCCGGGCCUUGUACACACCGCCCGUCACACCAUGGGAGUGGGUUGCAAAAGAAGUAGGUAGCUUAACCUUCGGGAGGGCGCUUACCACUUUGUGAUUCAUGACUGGGGUGAAGUCGUAACAAGGUAACCGUAGGGGAACCUGCGGUUGGAUCACCUCCUUACCUGAAAGAA
rnacentral:rRNA from 1 species